rnacentral:rRNA from 1 species
GAUGAACGCUGGCGGCGUGCCUAAUACAUGCAAGUCGAGCGAACAGACGAGGAGCUUGCUCCUCUGACGUUAGCGGCGGACGGGUGAGUAACACGUGGAUAACCUACCUAUAAGACUGGGAUAACUUCGGGAAACCGGAGCUAAUACCGGAUAAUAUAUUGAACCGCAUGGUUCAAUAGUGAAAGACGGUUUUGCUGUCACUUAUAGAUGGAUCCGCGCCGCACUAGCUAGUUGGUAAGGUAACGGCUUACCAAGGCAACGAUGCGUAGCCGACCUGAGAGGGUGAUCGGCCACACUGGAACUGAGACACGGUCCAGACUCCUACGGGAGGCAGCAGUUGGGAAUCUUCCGCAAUGGGCGAAAGCUUGACGGAGCAACGCCGCGUGAGUGAUGAAGGUCUUCGGAUCGUAAAACUCUGUUAUUAGGGAAGAACAAAUGUGUAAGUAACUAUGCACGUCUUGACGGUACCUAAUCAGAAAGCCACGGCUAACUACGUG